AGUAACGCGUGAGGAACCUGCCUCAAAGAGGGGGACAACAGUUGGAAACGACUGCUAAUACCGCAUAAGCCCACAGCUCGGCAUCGAGCAGAGGGAAAAGGAGUGAUCCGCUUUGAGAUGGCCUCGCGUCCGAUUAGCUAGUUGGUGAGGUAAUGGCCCACCAAGGCGACGAUCGGUAGCCGGACUGAGAGGUUGAACGGCCACAUUGGGACUGAGACACGGCCCAA
rnacentral:rRNA from 1 species